GACAAACGCUGGCGGCGUGCCUAAUACAUGCAAGUCGAGCGAAGUUUUUCUGGUGCUUGCACUAGAAAAACUUAGCGGCGAACGGGUGAGUAACACGUAAAGAACCUGCCUCAUAGACGGGGACAACUAUUGGAAACGAUAGCUAAUACCGGAUAACAACAUAAAUCGCAUGAUAUAUGUUUAAAAGUUGGUUUCGGCUAACACUAUGAGAUGGCUUUGCGGUGCAUUAGCUAGUUGGUGGGGUAAAGGCCUACCAAGGCGACGAUGCAUAGCCGACCUGAGAGGGUGAUCGGCCACACUGGGACUGAGACACGGCCCAGACUCCUACGGGAGGCAGCAGUAGGGAAUCUUCGGCAAUGGACGGAAGUCUGACCGAGCAACGCCGCGUGAGUGAAGAAGGUUUUCGGAUCGUAAAGCUCUGUUGUAAGAGAAGAACGCGUGUGAGAGUGGAAAGUUCACACUGUGACGGUAUCUACCAGAA
rnacentral:rRNA from 1 species